CCUACGGGCGGCAGCAGUGGGGGAUAUUGCACAAUGGGGGGAACCCUGAUGCAGCGACGCCGCGUGGGUGAAGGAGUGCUUCGGCAUGUAAAGCCCUAUCGGCAGGGAAGAAGCAAGACGGUACCUGACUAAGAAGCCCCGGCUAACUACGUGCCAGCAGCCGCGGUAAUACGUAGGGGGCGAGCGUUAUCCGGAUUCACUGGGUGUAAAGGGAGCGUAGACGGCCAAGCAAGCCAGGGGUGAAAGCCCGGGGCCCAACCCCGGGACUGCCCUUGGAACUGCAUGGCUGGAGUGCGGGAGGGGCAGGCGGAAUUCCUGGUGUAGCGGUGAAAUGCGUAGAUAUCAGGAGGAACACCGGCGGCGAAGGCGGCCUGCUGGACCGCGACUGACGUUGAGGCUCGAAAGCGUGGGGAGCAAACAGGAUUAGAUACCCGAGUAGUC
rnacentral:rRNA from 1 species